rnacentral:rRNA from 1 species
AUUGAACGCUGGCGGUAUGCCUAACACAUGCAAGUCGAACGAGGGUAGCAAUACUCUAGUGGCGGACGGGUGAGGAAUACGUAGGAAUUUGCCCUUAAGUGGGGGAUAACCCGGGGAAACCCGGAUUAAUACCGCAUGAUCUUUUCGAAGCAAAGCCGGGGACCGCAAGGCCUGGCGCUUUUGGAGAAGCCUACGUCGGAUUAGCUAGUUGGUGAGGUAAUGGCUUACCAAGGCUUUGACGGGUAACUGGUCUGAGAGGAUGAUCAGUCACAUCGGAACUGAGACACGGUCCGAACUCCUACGGGAGGCAGCAGUGGGGAAUAUUGCACAAUGGGCGAAAGCCUGAUCCAGCAAUACCGCGUGUGUGAAGAAGGCCUUCGGGUUGUAAAGCACUUUAGGUCGGAAAGAAAAAACUUGAGUUAAUACCUUAAGUCUUGACGGUACCGACAGAAUAAGCACCGGCUAACUCUGUGCCAGCAGCCGCGGUAAUACAGAGGGUGCAAGCGUUAAUCGGAUUUACUGGGCGUAAAGCGUGCGUAGGUGGCUGUUUAAGUCGGAUGUGAAAGCCCUGGGCUUAACCUGGGAACUGCAUUCGAUACUGGAUAGCUAGAGAUCGG